rnacentral:rRNA from 1 species
CACGAGGGUUGCACUGUCUCCUUUUUCUAAUCAGUGAAACUAAUCUCCCCGUGAAGAAGCGAGGAUAUUACUAUAAGACGAGAAGACCCCAUGGAGCUUUAAACCCAACUACAUCCCUAUCCCCAACAACUACUUAACCAAUUGGGUAUUGUAUGCUUGGUUUUAGGUUGGGGCGACCAUGGAGUAAAAAAUAACCUCCACGAUGAAUGGGCUUACCCCCUUAUCUAAGAGCUACACCUCUAAGAAUUAAAAUAUUAAUAUAAAAUGAUCCUUUCUUGAUCAACGGACCAAGUUACCCUGGGGAUAACAGCGCAAUCCAUUUCAAGAGCCCCUAUCGACAAAUGGGUUUACGACCUCGAUGUUGG